rnacentral:misc_RNA from 1 species
UAUUAUUUCCUGCUCGAACCCUCCAAAAAUGCCUGAUUUUCCAAUAAACUCAAACGGAAGUGAAUUUUUGAAUUUUGCAGCAGUUGAUUUUGAUGUAGCGAUGGACUUGUUUUUUCUGCAACCACCACCUAUAGGAACGUUGCGUAACGCGCCUCCUUUAGUCCAAUAACGUCGACAAGUCUUGCAGAAAUGACGAGGCUGAGUUAAAUUGUAGUUGUUGUAGUAACAAAACUUG